UUCCUUAUAUGAAAAAUCUCUUUCCUUAUUUUCAUCUUAUCUCCAAUUCGGAUUGCAUUCAAAUUUGACAAGAAAUAGGAUUAUGAGUCAUCAAUCAUUGCCACCCACCCUUAUUGGGUCGAUUACUUUGACACCAAAAAGGUCAAGCCAAAUCCUAUUUAGCAUAGAGAUAAGGGCAUGGGUCCAAAUAUGGCGCAUGGAGAUAAGGAUAGAGUCUU
rnacentral:lncRNA from 1 species